UAAUAAUAAUAAUAGUAAUAAUAAUAAUAAUGAGAAUAAUAAAAUUAGUUAAAAUACUAUUGUUUAUAGGACGUUUAAAUCACAAUUUGUGGGCUAGGACCGUUUAUUAUAAUAUGUAAUUAUAACAUUCAAAUUAUCUAUUGUAAUAAUUGACGAGCAGACGGGGUAAUGGUCUUAAAAAAACUAAUCCUCACGCAUUUAAGUUUGUUGGAAACGCCGGCGGCGGUUAUAUUAUUGUAAUAUCGUGUUGCUACAUAAUAUUUUUAUAAUAUAAUAGGUACCAUAUGAUAUGUUUUGUCGCUGUACGGUGUACUUGUUUUGCUUUGAACGUAUUUUAUUUUUUCAUGUAUAUUAUUACAGAUUAGGGAAUCUAACCUAAUCUAACCCCUCCUAACGUACACAUAUAAUAAAUAUGUCUAUUAUUUAUUUUAAGUGUUUACAAUUUACAAUCAAUCCCGGAUUAAGGGGUGGGGGUAGGGCGUGACACCUGGACCGCAAGGCUCCGAGGGCCUCAGUUAUUUACCAAAAUUUGUCCUUUAUAUCUGCGUUCAAUGCGUUCAAUCAUUAAAUUUGUGUUUUGAUAUUUUAUUACUUUCGAUAUGAUUUCAUUGCAUGAAGAUGUAGUCCUAUUGGUGAAAACGACUAGUACGGUUUUUUUUAAUUUUUUUUUUAUAAAAAUAUAUUUAUUUAAUUAUAAAAUACUUGUAUCUUUUGAAUUGAGAUCUAUUAUCACUGUAUUAUUUAAUGUUUUUCUUUUGUUAAAACACAAUAUUGUCAUAUUGAAUAAUAAUGUGUAGAGAUUUUUUUGCCAUCGUAAUUAUUUUUGACGACCUCAUUAAAAAGCCUCGGAGCCUCUUAAUAUCUUAAUCCGGACUUAUUUAUAAUGUAAAAUAAUAACAUGUACGGUGUACCUACGUCUGCAAAUGUGUAAUAGUUACAAAUUCUCGAUGUUUUUUUUUUUUUCAAUGUUAUAUUUUUUAUGUAUCGCGCAAGUUUAAUAAUAAUAAGUAGGGCCCUGAAUUAUAUUCUCU